rnacentral:lncRNA from 1 species
CCAUCUUCCGCCCGGCCAUCGGGCCGCGGGCGCUCGGAACCGACCUGGGAGCUGGCGGGACCGUCCUCCCCCGCCACGCCCUCCCAUCGGGCUUUGGGCGCCGGACUCUGGCCACCGCUCGGCACCUGCCUCCGCCUCGCCUUGGGGUAUAGGAGUCCUGUACCGACCCCUGGCUUGCCCAGAGGACAGGUUCUCGCCCGGGCCAGAAGCAAACUGCGGCGAAAUCGAGACAACAGAACUCAGGUGGCGGAGGGUCCCCGCUUUUCCCCAGAGGCGGAAGUUGGCGAGGGAGUCCUCUUCCGUUAUCCAGCGAGAGCGCUGCUCUGGCUGCCUCCCGGUUCUAACCUAGUCCCUGCAGAGGAGUGAUGUACCGGCAGGGACAUUGGACAGAGGCCGUGCUCUUCCCUGCAGCGCAUACCCCGCGGCCCCUGCUGGUGGGCCGCUUCGAUGGUGCUGAGGUUCAUAGUGAAUAUUUAUUGAGCGCCUGCCUCGAGUCCCUUGGGUUUCCUGUUGUCUCGGGACCUGCCGCGUCACUAUCACCCUAGAAUUUGUUAGAAAUGCACGUUUUCGGCCCCACCUAGACCUACAGAACCAGAAACUGCGGGUGGAGUCCUGCAAUAUGAUUAACAAAGCCCUCCGGGUAGUUGUCAUGGACGCCUCUAUAUUUCAGCUAAGCAGUCCAUUUUAAUAAGCUAGGCAGUGAAAAUUUCCAUAGUUUUCCCCAAAGCACAGUGAGGAGUCAGGGAUUCAAAAUGAGGCAAUCUGCCCCAAUGCAGGCGUUUUAUUGCACCCUCCACUCCUGGCUCCUCUGGUUUUUUCGCCCGUAAGACACAGUACUGCUCUUCUCAGGAAGAUUAGGAAAGUACAUUUGUCACAUACGCUUUUCAAGCACGGCUUUAAAAUAACAACUGAAAUUCAGUUCAACUGCAUGUUUUGAGUAUCUACUGGGAGCAAGGCUCUGUGAAGUAUAGUAGCCCUACUGGUUAUGUUUAUCAGUUUGCACCUAAAAGGUGAAAGGAAGGCUUGCUUUCUUGUGAUGUAAAUUUUUUCAAACUAAGGGAGUGCCAGAAAACUGCUGGCUGCUUUCUCUCCCGUGUUGGUUUCUCUCCAGUGCUAUCCAGAAUAUGCUGUAAGCUCUGGACUUCCUGAAACAAAGGUCCAAGUAAGCAUCUGGUCUUUGAUGUACUUUAAAAUGCACCCCACCCCCACAUGAAAGAUAACUAAAUUUUUCAAAAUAUUAAUACUUCUUGAAUGUAAAUCGUGUGUCUAAGGUACUGGCAUAAUUUUUUUUUUCAAAUUUUCUAUAUGUUUGAAAUGUUUCAUAAUAAAAUCCUUUUAAAUUUUUUUCCAUGUGUAAUUUUAGGAUGAUAUAUAUAUAGCACAUGGAAAAAAGCAGGGCAUAGAAGUAUUUCCACUUUAAUUUCAGUUUCAUAAAAUCAGAGAGAAAAAGUCAUAGAUAUAUACACCAUACAUAAAAAAUAAAAGCGUAAAUAAAUACAGAAAGAAAUCUAAAGAGAAAUCACCAUAGCAGUAAAAGUAAAUUCUGUGUGAAGUGGUUAUAAGAGACACUAAGAGUUGCCCCUCCUUGAAAUUAUAUUUAGUUAUGGUCCUUAAGUCACUAUUAUUUGUAACCAAAAAAAAAAAUUGAAUAAAAAUAGUUCUCCCUCUUUAGUCCAUCCAAUCCUAAAGAAUUUUUAUCAGUGCCCUUUCUUUUUCUUCAGAGUCACUCUGUCACCCAGGCUGGAGUGCAGUGGCACCAUCACAGCUCCCUGCAGCCUUGACUUACAGGGCUCCAGUGAUCCUCCACCCUCAGCCUCCUGAGUAUCUGAGACCACAGGUGCAAGCCACCAUGCCCAGCAUACAUCUUACUAAGGCAUCUAAAGUACUUACUACUUCGUACUCAUGGGAUCCAAUGAUGCUCACAUAAUGUCAUCAAUAGAGUGGACCAGUGUGAUGUUUUGUGGAAUGUCAGAACAAUCAAGAUCACUUCAGACUAUUAUGGCAGUGAGCAAGAGAACUAAUGGAGCCCGUGGCAACACUGGGAAGACAUAUUGUUGGCCCUGUUGGGUAACAGCAAAUCACUUCUGAUGGACCUUGCAAAUUGGUAUGGAGGAAAAGGCAUUAGCCAGUUGUAGCAAGGAAACCAAAAGGUAUAAACAUUCACUGAUUGAAAAACAAUGUCAUAAAGUCAUCCCAGUAUCUGUGAGGAGUUGGUUCCAGGACCCCUGAGGACACCAAAAUCCUCAGAUGCUCAAGUCCCUGAUAAAAAAAUAAAAGGGGCAAGUUAUGAAUAAAGUUGAGCCAUAAAUCAAAAGGAUGUUAACUGAAAAAGAAGUCUCAAAGCAGAUGGUGAGAAAGUGAAGACAGAGAGCCUCUGCCCCAGUUCAGGAGGAAUAUUCCGGACCAAACACACAAAGGAAGCAGUCUGGCAGCUGCCACUACCAACCUGAUAACAUUGCUCCCUGGAGGAGACGUUGAGGACCAUUUCCCCAGAAAUAAAACUGCAAACUCCACCUCCUGGGUUCAAGCAAUUCUUCUGCCUCCAGAGUAGCUGGGAUUGCGGCAUGCACCACCACGCCCAGCUAAUUUUUGUAUUUUUAGUAGAGACAGGAUUUUGCCAUAUUGGCCAGGCUGGUCUCAAACUCCUGGCCUCAAGUGAUCUGCCCGCUUCGGCCUCCGUAAGUGCCGGGAUUACAGUUGUGAGCCAUCAUGCCCAGCCAUUCUAUCCCCUUCUUUAUAUCUGGUUCUACUAUUCAACUAAUAUAGCCUAAAUACCUCCUUAUUGGGGAUAGAGGAAAACCUGAUAUAGAAGCAGUUCUUCCUGUUGGCCUGGUGGAUUGUGGGAAAAAUAACAGAAGGCAAAUUGUAGCAAAAGCAAGUGGGCAGACACUUGUGUCCUGGCUUGCCUCCUCCGGGCCACAGUCUGGAAGAGGAAAGAAGAGGAUAUGGUACAUAAACUGGGGGAGAGCCAGAUGCAAAAGCAGAGGGGGCUUGUGCCCCAGUCCUAGCUCAGAACUCUGAGAAGAGACUGUGGUGUAGAAUGGCUUACACCAACCUGGUGCUACCACAGAACAAGGAAGGCGGCAGAGAGGCAUGGUUCCACAGAAAGAGGGCCUGUGUUCCCACUCCUAAACUUGCCUUUCCUCUUAAAAGGCAUAGAAGGGCUCCAGAAGUUCCCAGACUCCCCCUGUAGAACCAGACAAGGUAGGUAACAGAAUUGGCAGCUUCAGGACCUGCUAUAAUGGAGCCUCUGUAGUUAGGGGUGAGAUAACACUAACGUCAAGGCCAGGGGCUAGAGAGAGGACCUGGCUGAACUCGGUGGCAUCUGCAGUCCUGGCAAAUGUAAGGUAGGGUGGGUCUAACUGAGCCUAGGAACAACACUGCACUUGGGGAAGACCACUGUAAGGCUGUGGGAACCUGACUGGAUCAGCCACUUCAGAGCAGAGGCAGGAGAUAGGAUAGGCCCUGCACUCAUAUCAAGGCUCAUCUCCCCCUACAGUGGGAUCCACAUGCCCAAACACCAUCUGGUAGAGAAGUAGGGAAUGAACAAAGGGGAUAUUGGAAAGAUAGCUAAUCUACCCUGUGUGGAAAAGAAUGAACUUUGCACAAAGAGAAGUUAGGCCUUUGCUUCUGAGAGUAUUUUAAGCCUUUGUAAUGUCCUGCCUGAUAAGAUGGGGUUACCUGGCAGCCUAAGACCAUGCCAGAUAGUCUAUGCUAAUAAUGUGAUUAUGGUGGGGCUUUAGGCCUUGCAAUAUCAACCCAACCUCUGGAAGGCUGGAAGCUAAGGUGGUCAAUGGGUGGUCAACCAUAUCUACUGGUAGUCAACCAUAUCUAUGUAACCAAGCCCCAGUUAAAAACUCUGGACACCAAGGCCCAAGUGAGUUUCCCUGGCUGGCAAUACUCUGUGCGUAUUGCCCAACAUCAUUGCUGGGAGGAAUUAGCACUGUCUAGAGUUCCACUGUGAUAGGACAACUAGAAGCUUGCACUUGCAACUCUCCUGGACCCUGCCCCAUCAUGCCUCUUCCCUUUGCUGAUUUUCAUUUCUUACUUUUCACUGUAAUAAACCAUAACUGCGAGUAUAACAGUUUUCAGUGAGUUCUAUCAAUUAUUGAACCUGAGGGUUGUCCUGGGGGACUCCUGAUUUCCACAAACCCCAAAGAGACUGGGCCAACUGGAGUGAGUAAAGAAAGAUUGCAUCCAUUAGAGCAAAUCAAGAAGCCUCAUUGUCUUAUAGAAUUUCAGUGGUGCUUUGUAAAUAUGUGACCCUACUACUCAAGCAAGUAAAGACUUCUUACCACUCCAAAUAAGGCAUGGAUGAAGGAAUCACAGCUAGCUAGUCUUUUUUUUUUUCAAACUAAAGAAGGGGACAUGUGUACUGC